ensembl:lncRNA
GCAUUGGGAGAAAAUAAACUAGUCUGAAGACACAACUCAUUGACCUAAAGAACACAUUAACUAAUUAAAAAUCAAAACAAAAAUCACAACUAGUUCAUCAGAGUUCUGAUGCCUGCGUAAUGGCCAGCGCUCCUCUGAGACUCUCCAGCGCCUGGCUGGCCUCCUCGAGCUCACUGUUGAGCUUAGUGCAGCUCUCCAGCACCUCGCAUAACUCCUGCAGCAUCACCUCCAUCUCUUUACUGGUCUCGUCAUAGAUCGUGUACAUGUGCUCCUUCAUCUUCUGACACGUCUCUGUCACCUUGGGGAUAAUAUGUGAGGUGAAAGAACAAAUCAGUCCCAACGUUUCUGGUGGCGCCAGAAACACAGUUAAGAACGGAGAAGAGGUGUCACUCCGUAAUAAAAGCGUGCAGUUCAUUCGGGCCAAACAUGGAAGUUAUGUACAUAGUCUUUGGUGUGUACAGCAGGACAUUAGUUUUGUACCUUCUCCACUAACUUCUCCUGGAAGCUGUCCAAAACUUGCUGGUUGGUGGUGCGGCUGUCAUUCAUCUUUUCAACCAGUUCCUGAACUCUUCUGCUGAUCUCAGCUAUACUUGAGCUACAAGACAUAUUGACAUGUGUGUAGUUGGAACUUGACUUUAAACCUAACUGGAUUAUUUACUGUCCGCCCAGGGGCAAGUAAACCAAGCUGCUCAAGUAAAAGCACCUCCUGUAUGAAUUGUCCCUUCAGUAAAUGGAUUGGACCGUGUGGGUAAAGCUGUACCUGGUAUGCUGCUCUUGACCCUCGGUCGCGCUCGUGAGAGAGGACUUCCCGCUCCAUGACUUAGGAUCUUCUGGCUGUAUCAAGGUCAACGACAGAUUAAAAACUAUUGCAUCAUCCUUCCCAGGUGGCUGGCAGUAAACCUGAAGGGUUCAGGUAUCAUUUACGGGAUCCCAAAAGACAAUCCGGAUUAUAAUACCAUUAAUGGUCAACGACAAAAAAAACACAAUACACGCUAUACAUUAUGCUGCCCCAAUCUAUCAUCAUUUUUUCAACAGUAGUAUUUUGUGUUUUGCAAGUUCAUUCUGUGCAGUGCUUGUAAAGAAAUACCAUAUCUGGGGACAGGAUGUGAAACGGCGCUGCAAAGGUCCAGACGUGUUAACUUGGUCGCGACAGGUGGGUGAAUUUAUUCACUGGUCUGUUUUCAAGUUGGUCAAGUUUUUUCAAUCUUCCAUUUGCUUUAUAUUAAAGUUAAUUAGAAAUAGAAUAUCAACGCAUUUACUUUACCUUCAGCUAGUGGAUUUAGACUGUGUCUCUCUUCAUUCUAGGGAGCUACGCCUUUGUGGAUGA